GACGAACGCUGGCGGCGUGCUUAACACAUGCAAGUCGAACGGAAAGGCCCUGCUUUUGUGGGGUGCUCGAGUGGCGAACGGGUGAGUAACACGUGAGUAACCUGCCCUUGACUUUGGGAUAACUUCAGGAAACUGGGGCUAAUACCGGAUAGGAGCUCCUGCUGCAUGGUGGGGGUUGGAAAGUUUCGGCGGUUGGGGAUGGACUCGCGGCUUAUCAGCUUGUUGGUGGGGUAGUGGCUUACCAAGGUUUUGACGGGUAGCCGGCCUGAGAGGGUGACCGGCCACAUGGGGACUGAGAGACGGAGCAGACUCCUACGGGAGGCAGCAGUGGGGAAUAUGGCACAAUGGGCGGAAGCCUGAUGCAGCAACGCCGCGUGCGGGAUGACGGCCUUCGGGUUGUAAACCGCUGUCGCCUGUGACGAAGCGUGAGUGACGGUAAUGGGUAAAGAAGCACCGGCUAACUACGUG
rnacentral:rRNA from 1 species